AUUGAACGCUGGCGGCAUGCUUUACACAUGCAAGUCGAACGGCAGCACGGGCUUCGGCCUGGUGGCGAGUGGCGAACGGGUGAGUAAUGCAUCGGAACGUGCCCAUUUGUGGGGGAUAACGCGGCGAAAGUCGCGCUAAUACCGCAUACGCCCUGAGGGGGAAAGCGGGGGAUUCUUCGGAACCUCGCGCAAUUGGAGCGGCCGAUGUCAGAUUAGCUAGUUGGUAGGGUAAAGGCCUACCAAGGCGACGAUCUGUAGCGGGUCUGAGAGGAUGAUCCGCCACACUGGGACUGAGACACGGCCCAGACUCCUACGGGAGGCAGCAGUGGGGAAUUUUGGACAAUGGGGGCAACCCUGAUCCAGCCAUGCCGCGUGAGUGAAGAAGGCCUCGG
rnacentral:rRNA from 1 species